GCUUUUCGGGGAUAGUUAAGCCCAGGCCUUAAGACAGUUUGAUGUUCAGUUUUGUUAUUUAGGUCUGGGUUAGGGAUACCGCCAGAGAGCAUCCAAACAUUCCUGUGAUUGGGAAGGCUAGUUGUCUGUGAGCAUUCCAGAUGAAAUAGCCUAUAAUGGGUUAUCACCUUUUGAUCUUACCUCAGAGAAGAUUGAAUUGGAUCUACCUAUCUGAUUUAGCAGAAUUAAACUGGAUUUGGAUGGGAGGAUAAUCAGCUAUUUAAUUUGCCAGUUGUUAGUUAGCAUUUCUUAUUGCUGUAUCUCAAGGAUUUACUUUGAAUAUUCUGUAUUUUCUCUUUCCUGCCCAUGAUGGGUUUUCCUUUUAAAAUGCUCAGCACAGGCUGGGUGUGGUGGCUCAUUGAUCUGCCAGCCUCAGCCUCCCAAAGUGCUAGGAUUACAGGCGUGAGCCACUGCACUCAGCUAGAAGAAUUCUGAUAGGCUCUCAGCAUCCAUUGUUCUAGGUAUAACAAUUCUGACUUUUUCAAAUACUCUGAUGCUUUUAUGGUAUCCUGCUUGCUGCUGUCUUCUUCUUUUGAAAUUGGAGUUCAAUCACUCUGCUCUUCUUUCUUAAUACUUGUCUGUUUCCUAGAUUUUACAGGCUUUUCCAUGAACACUCUAAUUUCCUGUAUGAAGAGGGAAUAUACAAAUGAUAGGAUGCUUUCCUGCAACUGAGAUGGCAGGGGGAAGGAGAGGACAGCAACUCAUACGGAAGGAAAUCAGCUUUUGUUGAGCACCCAGAAUUUACCAGAUCAGAUAGAGAGGACAGGUGUAGAAGAAAAUGAGCAUGUAUAAAGAGGAAUAGUGGGACAAUAAAGUACAAAUAUGGAAAAUUAAGUGGAAGGCUUUUAAUGCUGUUAGGGAACUUGGAUUGGGUUAGUAAGUUAUGAGACUGACAUUUUUGAUCCUUGAAAUGUCAUAAUCAGAGGUGAAUGAUAGGUUAUAUAAUCUAAUAGUUUAGAGAAUUAAUUAAAUUGGGAAAUAAGUCAUAGGACCAAUAAAGAAGUGUUUUGAGAGUUUCUCUUAAGGAAUGAAGACCUAACGAGAAUAGCGGCAACGCAGUAGAAGUGUUGCUAAAGUACAUUGGACAGAUAUAAGCAAUUGGAUAUUGGGAAAGAAAGGGAUGAAUAAAAGGUGACAUAAGAUGUUAAGCCUGGGUGAUGGAGAGAAUGUGAUCUCAGCAGGUUUGUGGGUGGAGGUAAAAAUAAGUUUUGUUCUAGAUCUCUUGCUUUUGAGGUGCUGGUAGGAUAUUCCUGUGGAGAUGUGUAGUAGAAUCCGAAGUGUGAAACUGGAACUUGGAGGGAGAGAUCAAGGCUGGAAAUAAAACAUGUAUGAGUAAGGAGAGUUAAAAAUAAAGAGAAGAAGAGAGCAUUUGUUAGCUGGAGUAAAAGGAAGGGUACAGGAAAAGCAUCAUAGAGAAGAGAGAAUUUGAUCUGACUUUAAAAGAUGCCGAGUUGGUAUAUGGCAUUCUGUUCAUGAGCUUUCCUUGUUGAGGGGACAUCACAUUUACUAACUUGAGAGAUAAUACAUGGGAAAUGUUGGACAAAGGACACUGCAUCCAGAAUGACCUUUCUAAACUACAAAAUCAUUUCCCCUCUUUCCUGCUUAACUCUCCCUCAGUGGCUUCUUAUCUUUCUUCAGAUAAAGGACUAACUCCUAAAUGUCUUCAUCAUCACCAAUUUGAACACACAUUGUGUCUCACACUCCUCCUUGUUCCUCCCUCUUCUUCCCCAAGACUGGACAAUGUGAAGAAGAUAACAUUUCCACCAGAUGGAGUACUCUUUAUACUUUUUUGGGGUCCUUUAUGGUCACUUUUUGUGGCCAUGGUCAGGUUCUUAUCCAUAAAAUAAUUAUUGAUAACUUCCAAAUCUAAAAUGAAAAGUAAUGAUAAAUCACAUACUUCCCUCAUUUUUACAAAAUUCCUUGCUUGCCUUAUCUCUUCAAGUGUUGACUGCAAGGUUCCUGUACACUUACUUGAGUUGGCCACUCUGGUCACUAUACCCUGAUCUCUGACACUUGGCUGUAGUAGCCUGGAGCAGCAUUGUUACUGGGCAUUGCUGUGAUUGGGUUACCCAGCUGUGCUGAUGUGGAAGCCUCAGGGCUAUUUAUUGAUACUUGGUUUCCUAAAGGAAAGUUGAGGGAAUUUAUUUUAUGAGAGGGCUUUAUUUACACAGAUUAAAGAGGUUUAUAAAAUGUGGAGAUGAAUAUAGGUGAAACAGAGAAAGAAUGCUGGUAUAGGAGGUGUUUUCGGCUGGGUUUGGUGGCUUAUGCCCGUAAUCCCAGCACUUUGGGAGGCUGAGGCGGGUGGAUCACUUGAGUCUAGCCCGGGCGGCAUAGUGAGACCCAUCUCUACAAAAACUACAAAAAUUAGCUGGACAUUGUGUUGCAUGCCUGUAGUCCCGGCUACUCAGGAGGCUGAGGUGAGAGGAUUGCUUGAGCCCAGGAAGCAGAGGUUGCAGUGAGCCAAGAUCAUGCCACUGCACUCCAGCCUGGGCAACAGAGUGAGACCCUGUCUCAGAAAACAAACAAAAAUUCCCAAAAAACCAGGAAGUGUUUUCUCAGGGUCUAGUUCCCAGGCGAAUGGUAUAUCCUGAUUCUAGGUUUACAAAAAUAGUAUAUUAUUCAUAACAUUUGUCUAAAGUGACACAUUUACAUACAGUAUAUAGUAUUGAGUAAUUUCCAACUCUUUAAAAAUAAUGGAGACCCUUCCAUGUAGUAGUAAUUAUGUUUUUAGUAUCUGUUGACUGAGAAAAUACGUAACAGCAAAAGCUACUAUAAAACUUUGAAAUAAGUUCUUGUAAAUAUAAAAACAUUCUCAUAUAUUUGGAAAGUAUACAUGUGGAAAUUAUGACUUAUAGAGUCUAUGGACACUUGAUUUCUUGCUUUAUGGAUACUCUCAGGAAGUUCUGGUCUCAACUUCGAGUAGCUCAUUGUUCUCUUACUUUAGAAUGUGGGGUAUGGGGGAAAACUUCUAUUUGAAAAUUUGAGCCAUAGCGGAAAUUUUGGAAUGACAGGGAAACCCCUUUUCAGAAUCCUCUUACAAUAAAAUUUAUGUAUGUUAUGCCAGACAAUGUACUUUAUACUAAGACUGGACUUUUAAAUAGUCUCAGGGAUUAAGAAGUCAGAUACAAUAAAUAAAUACUUUUUAAAAAUUAUAUUUUUAGGUAUAUGAGCAUUGUUGUUAGGACUACAGUGCUAUUUUAAAGUGAAAUUUAGUUGAUUUGCAUGUGAGUAUACACCUACAGGUCUCCGUUAUAGCCGUGACAUGUCUUCUGUUACUAUAAAUUACAUAACAAAUCCUUAUGGUUUCUUGGGUCACUUAUUUUAUUUAAAGACAAAAACAUCUUUCAGUACAUAUGUAAGACUUAGGGCAUUAUUGAAAAUAAGCCUGUGCCACAUGGUAGAAUCUAUUAAAAAAAAAAA
rnacentral:sRNA from 1 species